GGCCGCAGCCGGCGGCUUACGGGCUUAGAAGCCUGAGGACACACCGCCCUCACCGUGAAGGCUAGACCCCGUAAGGGGUGUGGGUGAUACCCACGGCAACGACACAGAAACGACACGGCCCCUAGUGAUGUCGAUGAAGCUGUGAGGCCCUCCAGGCAACUGGGGGGCAGUAACUAGUGGAGGAAGCUAGGGGAUGCGUUGAAACGGUCGACCCUAGCUGAGCAAGGCCCGGGGACUAGGAGGCUCACGCGAGUCUCCGGGGUAGACCGCUGAGUCUAAUGCCGCCGUAGUACUAAAGGCGGGUUAUGGCUGCGGCC
rnacentral:RNase_P_RNA from 1 species